rnacentral:rRNA from 1 species
CCUACGGGAGGCAGCAGUGGGGAAUUUUGGACAAUGGGCGCAAGCCUGAUCCAGCAAUGCCGCGUGAGUGAAGAAGGCCUUCGGGUUGUAAAGCUCUUUUGUCAGGGAAGAAACGGCUGAGGUUAAUACCUUCGGCUAAUGACGGUACCUGAAGAAUAAGCACCGGCUAACUACGUGCCAGCAGCCGCGGUAAUACGUAGGGUGCAAGCGUUAAUCGGAAUUACUGGGCGUAAAGCGUGCGCAGGCGGUUUUGUAAGUCUGACGUGAAAUCCCCGGGCUCAACCUGGGAAUUGCGUUGGAGACUGCAAGGCUGGAGUCUGGCAGAGGGGGGUAGAAUUCCACGUGUAGCAGUGAAAUGCGUAGAGAUGUGGAGGAACACCGAUGGCGAAGGCAGCCCCCUGGGUCAAGACUGACGCUCAUGCACGAAAGCGUGGGGAGCAAACAGGAUUAGAUACCCUGGUAGUCCACGCCCUAAACGAUGUCUACUAGUUGUCGGGUCUUAAUUGACUUGGUAACGCAGCUAACGCGUGAAGUAGACCGCCUGGGGAGUACGGUCGCAAGAUUAAAACUCAAAAGGAAUUGACGG